CCUCCCAUCACCAUAUAGGAAUUCGGCAGAAUCACCAAUAGACAGAGAGACAACAGGUAAUCCUCUACGGAUACUUUCUCUGCUUUCAUCUCGAUCCUGCAUUGUAAAGCACAAUACGAGUUUAAUACUUUGUUAAAGCACUGAAUCCAUA